rnacentral:rRNA from 1 species
GAUGAACGCUGGCGGCGUGCUUAACACAUGCAAGUCGAACGGUGAAGCAGGAGCUUGCUCUUGUGGAUCAGUGGCGAACGGGUGAGUAACACGUGAGCAACCUGCCCCUGACUCUGGGAUAAGCGCUGGAAACGGCGUCUAAUACUGGAUAUGUGAUGUGACCGCAUGGUCUGCAUCUGGAAAGAAUUUCGGUUGGGGAUGGGCUCGCGGCCUAUCAGCUUGCUGGUGAGGUAAUGGCUCACCAAGGCGUCGACGGGUAGCCGGCCUGAGAGGGUGACCGGCCACACUGGGACUGAGACACGGCCCAGACUCCUACGGGAGGCAGCAGUGGGGAAUAUUGCACAAUGGGCGGAAGCCUGAUGCAGCAACGCCGCGUGAGGGAUGACGGCCUUCGGGUUGUAAACCUCUUUCAGCAGGGACGAAGCGCAAGUGACGGUACCUGCAGAAGAAGCACCGGCCAACUACGUGCCAGCAGCCGCCGUAA